UACGUAGGGUGCAAGCGUUAAUCGGAAUUACUGGGCGUAAAGCGUGCGCAGGCGGUUAUGUAAGACAGAUGUGAAAUGCCCGGGCUUAACCUGGGAACUGCAUUUGUGACUGCAUGGCUAGAGUUUGGCAGAGGGGGGUAGAAUUCCACGUGUAGCAGUGAAAUGCGUAGAUAUGUGGAGGAACACCGAUGGCGAAGGCAGCCCCCUGGGUCAAGACUGACGCUCAUGCACGAAAGCGUGGGGAGCAAACAGGAU
rnacentral:rRNA from 1 species